rfam:Alternaria alternata strain SRC1lrK2f unplaced genomic scaffold CC77scaffold_3, whole genome shotgun sequence.
CUCCCCGUAGCUCAGUUGGUUUAGAGCGUCUGACUGUAAUAUCUGCUGUUAUCAGAAGGUCCCUUGUUCGACUCAUGGUGGGGAGA